AAACAAACUAAUUAGGCAAACACCAUUUAAAGAGUGGUUAACAUUGGGUGGCAUGACAAUUGACAAGUGAUUUUGACAAUUUAACAAACAUGAGGAGGAGUCCCUUCCAGAAGCGAAGCCAGAAUUUUCAAUUAGGGGGUUCAAAAUUUGUAGAAAUAGAUAGCCGAAGGAGGUUCGACAUCUACUAUAUAUACAUAUAAACUUAUUUAUUAACCAUGUAUAAAUGAUAUAACUUUCCGUCGAAGGAGAUCCCUUCUACGAAGGUAGCUCCACCCCUGGUCCCUUCGAUUGUACUACAUCCUUUGGUGGUAAAAUUUAUGAGAUCAUUUAUUCCUUUAUAUUUUUA